rnacentral:rRNA from 1 species
CCCUUAGAUGUUCUGGGCCGCACGCGUGCUACACUGAGUGGAUCAGCGGGUCAGGUUACGCGAGAGCGUUUCCUAAUCUUCAAAUCCGCUCGUGAUGGGGAUUGACGGUUGCAAUUUUCCGUCAUGAACGAGGAAUACCUUGUAAGCGCGGGUCAUCAUCCCGCGCUGAAUACGUCCCUGCCCUUUGUACACACCGCCCGUCGCUCCUACCGAUUGAGUGGUCCGGUGAGGCUUCGGGAUCUAAGCGAAAAGAGCGUUUCGCUCCUUUUGCUGGGAGAACUCAGUCGAACCUUAUCAUUUAGAGGAAGGAGAAGUCGUAACA